rnacentral:rRNA from 1 species
GACGUGACUUCAGAGUUUGAUCCUGGCUAGGACGAACGCUGGCGGCGUGCUUAACACAUGCAAGUCGAGCGGUAAGGCCUUUCGGGGUACACGAGCGGCGAACGGGUGAGUAACACGUGAGUAAUCUGCCCUUCACUUCGGGAUAACUACCGGAAACGGUGGCUAAUACCGGAUAUGACCUGGACUCCGCAUGGGGUUGGGUGGAAAGUUUUCGGUGGGGGAUGUGCUCGCGGCCUAUCAGCUUGUUGGUGAGGUAAUGGCUCACCAAGGCUUCGACGGGUAGCCGGCCUGAGAGGGUGACCGGCCACACUGGGACUGAGACACGGCCCAG